GGGAAGGUAGCUCAGUGGUAGAGCACUUGCCUUGCAUGCAUGAGGCCCUGGGCUCAAUUCCCCAGCACCA
rfam:Dipodomys ordii contig_65900, whole genome shotgun sequence.